UUAAAAGACUUUUGGCUGUAGGUCGGGUGAUGUUCGUCCAGGAAUCGACGAAGAACCUGCAAGGGUAGAAAAGCUGCAGAUGGAAGAUACAUCAGUCAGAAGGAUGUCAAAGUAAUAAAGCUGAAGGAGCCAGAACCAAAAAAAAAUAGGUGGUUUGAAGAAUGUUUCUACUGUGGUAACACAGGACAUACCAAAGCCGAAGAUUAUUAAGAAAGGAGAAACGACCCAGGUAACAUCAUCAGUGAGGCCUCCAAUGAAGCGAUGUUAUUCUACUCUGCUGGGAAUUUAUACUUUCCGAUCCGUUAUGGAAUUGGCUCCGUGAGGGGAAAAUGCGACACCACCUCCUCUUUUUGGCAGCUCCCAGAGCAGCGGACGGCCUGGAAUAUGCAGCUGGCCACUCGUCGACCACGCCUCUCGUGCUAGCAACGCUAUCCUGAUGAUGCUCCAACCACCAGCACCCCGAACACUGCGGCCUCGCUCUGAGACUCGCUGCAUGGAACGCAACCUGGUCUUGCCACCCUCCCUCGACGAAAUACACUCUGCCUGCCAGGUGGGCUCUGUUGUUUAUCUGAGCCCAGGGCCCCCUGUCCCCCACCCACCGCCGCAAUGCUACCUGCAACUUCAGGCCCAGUAAGCAGUGAAACGAGCUUCUCGUGCCCUCCUCACCUCCCAGUGCACCUCAUCCAGCUGCGAGGUAGAGGAACAAAGCCUCACGUGUGGAACUCUGCCCAGUGUCUUCUGGAAGUUGAAUAUCACAUAGGCACUUACUACUGUCCAUUUAUGGCACAGACUGCUGUGCGUUGCAGACCACACACUGUUCAGGAUUUACCUUGGCCCAGUUCUCCAGAACCUGACAACAACGGAGACAGCACACUCUUUCACACCACAUCUUUCCCCAGCACCCAGCACGUCGAAUCCCCUGUUACCCCUCCAACCACAGGAAGCAGAUUCACCUCCGUGGCCCAAUUUCUGAACGCCGCGAUCCAACCUCUCCCUGAACUUGCCGUGUUGCGCGGAGCAUAACACCAGCUUUCCAACAGAAGCAAUUAUGCCCUGGAUUCGGAUUCACUCAGUGGGUGUAGUCCCACACACUCUCCCAGACGUUUACAUCUGCCUGAAACGCCGCGCUGCCGGACGGCCAGUGCCGAGGGGGAGGGGAGAGCGUGCGCGAGAGAGAGGGGGUGAGGCGUGCCAGAGAAAAGGCGCGUUGUGUCUACGGCCAGGCUGGGCUGGGUGGAUUUUCCUUCCCGUGAGCCGCCCAAAAAUUCAGCAAAAUUGUCCCGUCCCCGAGAUCCCCUCGGCAUCAUUUAGAUAAAAAAAAACUAUACAACAGGGUGCGUCGGGUGUGGCACGGGCGAAAGGACAGAGCCCUCGGCUGGGUGGGGAGCAACGAAUUAAAAUGUCAACCGCUUGCUUUAAAAAUCACGUGCCCGAACCUUAUUAAAAAACGUACAAA